UCACAGCUCACCGUCGUCGGCUUCCCCGUCCUCCUCCUCUCCCUCUCUCCUCUGCUAAGGAGCCUGGGAAUCCAGAGGUUAAUAGCUUAGGGCAAUUUUAAAGGGAACCGAACGCUGAAUAUAACAAAGAGCAUAACCAUCGCGAAAAUAAAAAUCAGGGGAGAAGAGCUACUAUACAUGGUGUAAAUGCCAUAGUUGAUCACCUGCAUUGCCUUUUGGUAAACUGUAGGUCAGAUAAGAUCAGAAAGUCUUGAAAUGGAUUACUAUAUCAAUCUUGAUCAAGAUUUAUUAGAAGCUGAUUUGGUCAUUCAAGAGCCUGAUCCUACCAUGCACAUCCAAGCAUCUCGAAAAGGAGAUGACACGGAAAAUGAUUCGAGUCUUGGUCAAGAGAUAACAAAAGCUGAUGUGAUGGUGUUUGAUGAAAGUAUUCAGGAGACACAACUGACUGUAGAUAUACGGGAGCCUCUACAGGAAGAUGUUGACAAAAAUGAAAGUGGUGGAAAGGAAAGUGACCAUGCCUCCCUCAAAAAGCUUGGGUCUGAACCAUACACUGGUUUGCAAUUUGGCUCUGAAGACGAGGCCUAUGAAUUCUAUAAUGCAUAUGCUAAGGAGAAGGGUUUCAGUAUCCGAAAGAGUCGUGUAGAACGCUCAAAGGUCGAUAAAAGUGUUCUUUCCCGCAAGUAUGUGUGUGCGCAUGAAGGAUUUCACUGGACAAAAGAUAAACGUUAUAAAGGCAAGGUCGUUCGGUCUCGAAGAGAAACAAGGGUAGAUUGUCAAGCAGCAAUGAGCAUUAAAAGAAAAUCUGGUGGAUGGAUGGUUUACAAAGUUCAUCAUGAGCACAAUCAUGAACUUGUUAAUGCUGUUGAAGCUUACAAACUUCGGUCGCAUCGAAAAAUGAUGAACACUAUGAGGUCAAUCCCUGUUAAACGUGAAGUUGGACCAUCCGAAAAUAAAGCUCAGCUUCAAGAUGCUGCACAAAGAGCAGAUAAUGUGGGAAUCAACAACCAAGAUAGCAAGAACUAUGUGAAUAAAGAAAGGAAAAUUAACUUUGGAGUUGAUUGGAAUCGUACACUCGAGUAUUUCCAAAGCAUGCAAUCAGUAGAUUCUGGAUUUUUUUAUGCAGCAGAAUUUGGUAUGAAUCAGAGCAUAAGGAGCUUAUUUUGGGUGGAUAGCAGAGCAAGAGAGGCUUACAAGCAGUUUGGGGAUGUGGUGGUAUUUGAUACCUCGUAUCAAACAGACAAAUACAGGUUUCCACUUGUUUCUUUCACUGGUGUAAAUCACCACAGGCAUUCUACAGUGUUUGGAUCUGGGUUGCUGGCAGAUGAGACUGUGGAAUCUUAUGUUUGGUUAUUUGAAACAUGGCUCAAAGCUAUGUUAGAUCAGCAGCCUCCUUCUCUGAUAACAUAUCAAGAUGAAGCAAUGAGAACGGCCAUAGAGAAGGUUUUUCCAGGAGUAAGGCACCGGUUUUGCAUGUGGCAUGUGGCAAAAAAUGAGUUGGAAAAUCUGGGAUAUGCUUUUAAAAUGCACAAGGAAUUUGAAGUUGAAUACAGAAAGUGCAUUCAUGCGAGUCAGAAGCCAGAAGAAUUUGAAUUAGGGUGGGAGGCACUUAUUGUGAAGUUUGGUUUGAAAGAUAAUAAUUGGUUAAAGUUAAUGUAUGAUCAGCGCCACCAUUGGGUGCCACUGUACUUACAAGAUGCAUUCUUUGCUGGAAUGACUACAAUAAAGAGAAGUGAGGGUAUAAAUUCUUAUCUUAAUGAGUUCUUGCAUGAAGGGACUCCUUUAAGUGAAUUUAUACCUCAGUAUGAUCACGCCCUAAAGCAACUUCGUGAAAAGGAAGCAGAUGAAGAUUUUGUGACAAUGCAUACAAAAACAGUUUUAACAUCGAAAAGCCCUAUUGAAGAACAAGCUGCCAGAGUUUUUACAAGGACUAUGUUUUCAGUAUUUCGACAUGGAUUCCUUGAAAGUUCUUGUUGCAUUGCAAAUAAGACAGACGAGGAAGGGCCUGUCAGCAAGUACUUGGUGCACAAAUACAAUGAGAAGGAUGAAAACAUGCAUGUUGCUACGUUUAAUGUGGUUGAUAAUGGCAUAAGCUGCAGUUGUCAGAUGUUUGAGUUUGAGGGGAUGAUUUGUAGGCAUCUGCUCAAGGUAUUCCAAAUGGUAAAUAUAUUUGAGAUCCCACCACGAUAUAUUUUAAAGCGGUGGACAAUGAGUGCUAGGUAUCUUCAGUCUAUUGAUGGAGUGGGAGGAUGUUCCGGGGAGGUUUUGAAAGAAACAGCUACAAAAUUUGUAGAGUUUGGUUCCACUUGCACUGAACGAACUAGUGUUGCUAUUAAUAUUCUACGAGUAGGCAUGGGAAAACUUUCUGAUAUCAAUAUGCCAAGAAGGGCCUUGCCUCCUGAAGAUUUGGGCUAUGAUAGUACUUUUCAAGGGCAAAAUAUCAUCGAACAUAAGGAGGGUAACAUGCCUGAUCUUUUACUGACCAAAGCGAAAGGUCAUCUUGUUACUUUGAGAGAGAAAUCGGGCUUUGAACAGUCACCAAAGAAGAAAAGAAUAUACCGUACAAGGGAGGAAACCAGACAUAAUAUGCAUGCAUCUUCAGAGGGAGUUGUUGAUCAAUCCCAUCUUGCUACAGUAUUGCAAGUACAUAACGAUCAUUCACAUCAUGUGACAAUGGUGCAGGGUCCUGUUCUUCUUCCUCCGCCUGUCGCAUUGUUGCCGGGCCCUGUCAUUCUUCCCCAUCCUUUUAUGAUGUUGCCUGGGCCGGUUGACCAGUCCCAGAGUUUAUGAUAUGAGAAAAUUCCUCAUAACAAUUGUACAAAGCUUCUCUCUCCUUUAUUCAAGACCAUGUAUUUCUUCCAAACACAGUUUUCCCAUUCCUAAGCUGAUGGCAAAUUUAUGAAAUUACUGCUAGUAAAUGUUGAUUCAGGUUCUGGUAGUUCUUCACACUUCAUUUUCUUGUCAAGACUCAAAAGGUUUCUGUGCUCAUGUAAGUGUGACAUUGACAGUUUAAAUCGGAAAUCUUUGACUCCUGAUAUUUGUGAUUUACACUAACAGAUUGAGCAACAAUGAUUUGCUGCCGAAAACUUAUUCUCAAAUCUCAGGUGUAUUUUACAUUUUUUUUUUUUUUUAAAGUUCACUGAAGUUUCUGUUGGAGUAUUGGCAUGCCAUUAGGGGUAAUCCUUGCCUGACAACAUUCUUAACGCUUAAUCUUGGAAGCUUUGAUGUUUCAAAACCUCCUUAAAAGUAGGGAGAAAGAAAUUGGUGCCAUCUGCCACCUUGCUGUAUAUAGAAGAUAAUGUAUGAUUGGAAGGUGACUACCCAGAUGAUGGGGAUGUGGAAUAUGGUAUUGCUGUAUGGUUCCGGUGGAAGAGCAGACUGCCACUAUGUCGAAGAUGGUGAUUCCAUUUAUAAAGAACAAUUCCCAGCCGGGCCAGAAGUUCUGGUGACAGUUGGUUCAUUCAUUACCAGAUUUGCACAAGCCUUUAGGAUGCAUUUGCAAUUGGUUGCUUGUGUAAGUACCACACUUGCCUGAAAAUCUGGUCUUUUGUGUGUUGAUAGUGCCACAGUAUUGCUUGAUUUCAGUGUAAGUUCAGCUCAAGAAAUGGGAAGUCUCCUUUGAUUUAUUCAAAGAAAACAAGAUGAAUCUGAUAAUACUGGCAAGAAUCCUAUAAUAUAACAUCCUCUCUCUACGUGUUAGAACUGUUGAAUGAACCAACCUUGGCUACAUCAUCAUUCUGCUCUUCUAUCAUUUGUUCGCUCUCAUCGGUAAAUACACGUGUACUCAUUUCAACAGC